CCUCCGAGUGCCUGCGCGCCGCAGGAAGGUGUGGGGCGAGGAACCGAGGGAGGAGGAACGACGGUCAAGCCUCAGCGACGAUCUGGCACCGUGCUGCCAAACGACUACCCAGGGACACCCGUGCCCGAGCCGUGCGUGACGCUGCUUCGCUAAGGGGACCUCACAUCCAGCACAGAGGAUCAGGAGACGGUGCCACUGGAGCCACAGCCAUUCGGGGGUCGGGAGGUGGCCGAGGGACGGAGGAACCCACAGCGUCCAGGCCCAGCUCUGCCCCUGACACAGGGGCCCCGUAGCCCAGCGUCCUGCUGCCCAGUAGGGGUACGCCAGCCUCUGCUCCAGGGGUGACCAGGGCUGAGCACUCGUCAGCUCUGAAAUCACCUCGGCCUCCAUGGGACUGGGGUGCAGACCCCGGAAGCUUGGGGUGCCCCGGGGACACACAAGGUCCAGAAGGUGCUCUUCAGAGAGGCUCUGGUUCCCCUUCUUGAAGCGAUGGGAGUUGUCUGGACCCUCUGGGGCCUCCCCCAUGGCGGACUGGACCAGGCAGAGGCCAGGCGAGCUCCAUGCCCAGGUCACAGGUGGCAGGCGGAGAGCCCAGUUGGGCCGGGCCGGCACCUUCUCCAGGCCCACAGGUUGUGCUGCAGCCCUCGUGCGGGAGUCCCACCUGUGCGCCCAGGUCACUUGGGAGCCCGGAGCCUUCGGAAUCCAGCUGUGGAGAGGCAGGAGCCAUGGGAAAUGAGGUGUUUCCAGACAUCAAGCUUCAGACCCACUGAUGAUAGGGUUCUCCAGAGAGACAGACAAACACAAUACAUAGGAAGAGAUUUAUUAUGAGGAACCAGCUCACAUGAUCGUGAGGGCUGGGAAGCCCCACGUCUACUGUCUGCAUGCUACAGAUCCACAAAAGCCUAUUUGCUCGUGGAAUCCAGUCCAAGCCUGGAGGCCUGAGAACCUGGGGAGCUGGUGGUAUAAAUCCCAGUCCAGGGGCCGGAAAUGAUGAGGUGGGCUGUCCCAGCUCAAGCAGGUGGGCAGGAAGAGAAAAGGCAGAUUCCUCCCUUCUGCAUCUUUUGUCCUAUUCAAGCCCUCAGUGAACUAGGUGAUGCCCACCCACACUGGGAAGAGCAUCUGUUGUACUGAGGCCACCAAUUCUAACCCUAUAACCUCAUCCAGAAAGAGCUCCCCCGACACACCCAGAAAUAAAAUUUAAUGUGAACACCCAUGGCCUGGUCCAGCUGAUACAUAAAACUGACCAACACACAUCCACCCCUUGCCACCUCAUCACUUGUACCCACCUCCUUAAACCGCACCUGAUCCCCAAACAAAGUCAACACGAAGAUCAUAAUUCUGCCUCACAACUGUCCUGCCUACAACCGAAAACGCACAAACCCCUUCCUCAGAGGAGGAGGUGAAGUCUCCCCCUCUCCCCAGGGCUGACGUCCCACAGCUUAAACGCUAGGGUGUAAAUUCCCAGGACUAAAUGCUGUGAUGCAAAGUCAGUACAUCUUACGUGACAUGGCAAAGGGAGAAGAGAGGAAAGAAACAAAGAUCACGCACACACACACAUGUAACCGAGCAGGACCCUAGGGGGGCUUCCCAGAACAGACCCCCCUCCAUGUCCUCUGCUUGCCUUUUGUCUGUAGAAAAACUUUAGUCAAUAAUUUUAAUCAGAGAAAUGAGAAAAUGCAGAAAGAAAACAGUCCAGCAAGACAAACUAAUAAUAGUUUAGCCAUUAAACAAAGUCAAGGACGUUUAGUUCCUCCUUCAGGGCUACAGAUCGUGUUCAGAGCCACAUCCUUGAGCUGUUUUGCAGUUACUGAAACCCCCACCAGGUGGAAGAAGUUAACUCCAUGCUGACCACCGGCACGUAGACCCCAGACUGGUGGGAACCAGAA